GAGCUCAGUUGGUAGAGCCUGAGGCCUUUAAUCUCAGGCUCAUGGGUUCACGUCCCACGUUGGGCU